AAACAAUUUUCCGAAAUAGUGACAAAAAAUAUCAAUGCUAGAUACUAUGUAUUUAGUAAUUGGAAUGAGUACAAUUUAAAUCCCUUAACAAGUAACAAUUAGAGGGCAAGUCUGGUGCCAGCAGCCGCGGUAAUUCCAGCUCUAAUAGCGUAUAUUAAUAUUGUUGCAGUUAAAAAGCUCGUAGUUGAACUUCUGGCUAGUGGAGGUCCCCCGGGAUCAUUCGCUAGUCAUCCGCUCGGAGAAGCAGUAUUUCCUUUACUGGUUUUACUGUAGACCCAGCAUUUUACUUUGAAGAAAUUAGAGUGUUCCUGGCAGGCUUAGCUUGCAUAUAUUAGCAUGGAAUAAUGGAAUAGGACCUUGUCUGUUUUAUUGGUUUGACAGAUAGGUAAUGAUUAACAGGGACAGUCGGGGGCGAUUCGUACUCAGUGG
rnacentral:rRNA from 1 species